rnacentral:rRNA from 1 species
UGUGUAGGCGGUAUUGUUAGUCUUUCGUAAAAGCUCUCGGGCUUAACCCGGGAAAUGCGGAGGAAACGGCAGUACUUAGAGGAUGUGAGAGGUAAGUGGAACUCAAGGUGUAGGGGUGAAAUCCGUUGAUAUCUUGGGGAACACCAAAUGCGAAGGCAACUUACUGGCACACUCCUGACGCUGAAACACGAAAGCGUGGGAAUCGAACG